rnacentral:rRNA from 1 species
AGUGAACGCUGGCGGUAGGCCUAACACAUGCAAGUCGAACGGCAGCACAGUAAGAGCUUGCUCUUACGGGUGGCGAGUGGCGGACGGGUGAGGAAUACAUCGGAAUCUACUUUUUCGUGGGGGAUAACGUAGGGAAACUUACGCUAAUACCGCAUACGACCUACGGGUGGAAGCAGGGGAUCUUCGGACCUUGCGCGAUUGGAUGAGCCGAUGUCGGAUUAGCUAGUUGGCGGGGUAAAGGCCCACCAAGGCGACGAUCCGUAGCUGGUCUGAGAGGAUGAUCAGCCACACUGGAACUGAGACACGGUCCAGACUCCUACGGGAGGCAGAAGUGGGGAAUAUUGGACAAUGGGCGCAAGCCUGAUCCAGCCAUACCGCGUGGGUGAAGAAGGCCUUCGGGUUGUAAAGCCCUUUUGUUGGGAAAGAAAAGCAGCAGGUUAAUACCCCGCUGUUCUGACGGUACCCAAAGAAUAAGCACCGGCUAACUUCGUG